UAGAGUUUGGAUCCUGGCUCAGAUUGAACGCUGGCGGCAGGCCUAACACAUGCAAGUCGAGCGGUAACAGAUCCAGCUUGCUGGAUGCUGACGAGCGGCGGACGGGUGAGUAAUGCAUAGGAAUCUGCCCGAUAGUGGGGGAUAACCUGGGGAAACCCAGGCUAAUACCGCAUACGUCCUACGGGAGAAAGGGGGCUCCGGCUCCCGCUAUGGGAUGAGCCUAUGUCGGAUUAGCUAGUUGGUGAGGUAACGGCUCACCAAGGCCACGAUCCGUAGCUGGUCUGAGAGGAUGAUCAGCCACAUCGGGACUGAGACACGGCCCGAACUCCUACGGGAGGCAGCAGUGGGGAAUAUUGGACAAUGGGGGAAACCCUGAUCCAGCCAUGCCGCGUGUGUGAAGAAGGCCCUCGGGUUGUAAAGCACUUUCAGCGAGGAAGAACGCCUAGCGGUUAAUACCCGCUAGAAAGACUC
rnacentral:rRNA from 1 species